rnacentral:lncRNA from 1 species
CUUCCUACGAUGCUUGUGUUAGCGCAUGCGCAGUAGAUCUCCGAAAGUAUCGCUGAUCGGAGAGAACGAGGCGCAGACGAACGGCUCGAUCGACUGCGCGAGACGCGAUGAGUCCUAAAGUAAAACGACGCAGAGGUCGGCCUCCGAUUGCCAGAAAUGCUAGACAUGGACUUACUCGUUUAGAUUUCAAGAAAGGAUUGCAUGCAGAUCGCCCUAAAACUAAGACUGUUCGUACUAUACUGGAAAGAACACGUUCAAGUCUCACAUCAGCUACUGCCAUUCCCGUCCCAGAUCCAACCCGCACGCCUGAGGUUUUACCCCGAACACCCCAGAGCAUCAUUCACAACCCGACGUCGACAUCCCAAAGACCCCGACUCAUCCCAAUCUCACCUACAGGGGACAGCAGCCUCUCCAAGAUCCCCAAUGCUGAGUUUCACAGCCCUCCGCGUCUCACGAGGGUCUCGCCGCUCAGUAUUGACACAUCUGUGACACGGAAUUUCAUUCACUCUCCGGCUGUAAAAGUGGGCAAUGUUUCCCAACAGAUCGUUUCCUCUACUGGACCUGGGAAAGAUGGCACUGAGCCGCCCCUUCGACUCUGGCUUUGUCCCUCUAUGGAGCCCAUUAGUCCUACAAAAUCUCAGGAUACAUUCUCAGAUCAGACUGUAAGUUCACCAAAUUUUACGGAGACUACGCGUAAUGGAACAGCGACCCUAAAGGAAAGUCUUCCGUUUCUCAGGUGAACAAAUAUGACUCCUUUUAUACCACUUAGAAAGUCUAU